GAUGAACGCUAGCGGCAGGCUUAACACAUGCAAGUCGAGGGGCAGCAUAUUUUGUAGUAAUACAAGAUGAUGGCGACCGGCGCACGGGUGCGUAACGCGUAUGCAACCUGCCAUAUACAGGGGGAUAAACUUUCGAAAGGGAGCCUAAUACCCCAUAGUAUUAUUUUAAGGCAUCUUGCAAUAAUUAAAGAUUAAUUGGUAUAUGAUGGGCAUGCGUGUCAUUAGCUAGUUGGUAAGGUAACGGCUUACCAAGGCGACGAUGACUAGGGGUUCUGGGAGGAAGAUCCCCCACACUGGUAAGGAGACACGGACCAGACGCUUAGGGGAGGCAGGAGAGAGGAAUAUUGGUAAAGGGGCGAGAGCCUAAACCACCCAUGCCGGGUGCAGAAAGACGGCCUUAUGGGUUGUAAAUUGUUUUUAUAAAGAAAUAAAGUUAGCCACGUGUGGUUAUUUGUAGGUACUGUAUGAAUAAGGACCGGCUAAUUCCGUGCCAGCCGCCGCCGUAA
rnacentral:rRNA from 1 species